GGCUACACAUGUGCUACAAUGGGUAGUACAGAGAGUCGCAAAGCCGCGAGGUGGAGCUAAUCUCAGAAAACUAUUCUUAGUUCGGAUUGUACUCUGCAACUCGAGUACAUGAAGUUGGAAUCGCUAGUAAUCGCGAAUCAGCAAUGUCGCGGUGAAUACGUUCUCGGGUCUUGUACACACCGCCCGUCACACCACGAGAGUUGGUUGCACCUGAAGUAGCAGGCCUAACCGUAAGGAGGGAUGCUCCGAGGGUGUGAUUAGCGAUUGGGGUGAAGUCGUAACAAGGUAUCCGUACGGGAACGU
rnacentral:rRNA from 1 species